UAUAUGUAUAAAACACAGAUGCUUCCAAUAUACUCACUCAAACACAAAAUACAAAGAUAAUACUUAAUUCAUGGUCGUCUUCUGUAUUGUAGAAAAAAAGAGGGAGAGAAAUAGACCAUUUUGCUGUUUUACACAAACUGUUACCAUUUUUUUAGUAUUGUAUAUGCUUUUAAAAAGAGUAGAUAAUUGAUUAUUUAAAAACGCCAAAAUUACAUAUGUUGUCCUUGAUAGUUUAUUCAAUUUUACAUUAGUACUAUAUAUAACUUUAAAAAUUUCAGUUUCGAACUCUUAAUAGUAAUUUGUUUAUCUAAAAUAUAAUAGAAGAUUGGAAUAUGCAAUUUUACAUGACUUUCUAAAAUAAGCAUCUGUUCUCGACCCAGUUUUUGGUCUUUUUAAAACCUGCAUACACAUCCAAUGUUUCACUGAAUCAGAAAGUAUAGUUAUUGAAGGAAUAUUUCGCUUCAACUUGUAAAGUAUCUGCCCGACCUACCAGUUAUUAAAAUUGGGUUAGGCUUUACGUUCAGGACAAUUCGUUUGUUAACGUCGCGUAGCAGAUUCAUAGCAUCCAUAUCAAUCUGUCAAUCUACUAAUCUACAUUUCUAUUCAACAAAAGUUAACUCACUUGCUAUGAAAGGUAUCCGAGUCGAAGAGUUUGGAGAUCCAUCCGUACUAAAUUACGUUACGGACUUAGAGAUACCAAAACCAACUGGUAGCCAAGUUCUUGUUCGGAUCAAAGCAGUUGGCAUAAAUCCUGUUGAGACAUACAUUCGCAGUGGCACAUAUGCCAGGAAACCCGAUUUGCCUUAUACUCCUGGAACUGAUAGUGCCGGUAUUGUUGAAUCAGUAGGAAAUACUGUAGCAGUAUUAAAACCUGGACAAAGAGUAUACACAACAGCUUCUCUAACUGGUACCUACGCUGAAUAUUGUUUAGUCGAAGAGAAUCAUGUAUAUCCUCUACCUGAAAAUAUCACUUUUGAGCAAGGUGCUUGUUUAUCAAUACCUUACUAUACUGCUCAUAGAGCAAUUUUUCUCAAGGGCGGAGCUAAGCCUGGUCAAAAUAUUUUUAUUCAUGGAGCAAGCGGCGCAGUGGGAUUAGCUGCGUGUCAAAUGGCAGCUGCAAAUGGCCUUAAAGUAUUCGGUACCGCAGGAACUGAAGAAGGAAUUAAAAUAGUCAAACAGAACGGCGCCAUUGAGUGUUUUAAUCAUAGAAAAGAAAAUUAUAUGGAGGAUUUAAUGAAAGCAACCGGUGGCAGAGGAUUCAAUAUCAUCGUUGAAAUGCUUGCAAAUGUGAAUCUUGUAGCGGAUACAACAGUUUUAACAGACGAUGGAAUAAUUCUUAUUGUUGGGAAUCGAGGUAGUUUAGAGUUCAAUCCAAGAUGUUUAAUGCCAAAAGAACUAGCAAUUCGAGGAAUUGCUUUAGCCCAUGGAUCUUUGGAUGAAAAGAAGGAGGCUGCUAAGUUUUUGGAUGAAGGAAUGAGAAAAAAUUUGCUAAAUCCAAUUGUUUAUAAGACCUUUAAUUUGAAAGAUACUGCAAAAGCUCAUAUUGAAGUUAUAGAACACUCUGGAGGGAGCAAAGGAAAUAUCGUUGUUCAAAUUGAUUGAUUAGAAUAACAAAUAUAUUUUAAUAUUAUUUUUGAUCAGUUUGCUUUUAUUCUUCAUAAAUAAAUAUCUCUGAAAUUG
rnacentral:misc_RNA from 1 species